rnacentral:rRNA from 1 species
AUUGAACGCAGGCGGCAGGCCUAAUACAUGCAAGUCGAACGGUAACAUAAGAAAGCUUGCUUUCUUGAUGACGAGUGGCGGACGGGUGAGUAAUAUUUGGGAAGCUACCUGAUAGAGGGGGGACAACAGUUGGAAACGACUGCUAAUACCGCAUACAGCCUGAGGGUGAAAGCAGCAAUGCGCUAUCAGAUGCGCCCAAACGGGAUUAGCUAGUAGGUGAGGUAAAGGCUCACCUAGGCGACGAUCUCUAGCUGGUCUGAGAGGAUGAUCAGCCACAUUGGGACUGAGACACGGCCCAGACUCCUACGGGAGGCAGCAGUAGGGAAUAUUGCACAAUGGAGGAAACUCUGAUGCAGCCAUGCCGCGUGUGUGAAGAAGGCCUUCGGGUUGUAAAGCACUUUCGGAGGGGAGGAACAAAUGACGUUACCCUCAGAAGAAGCACCGGCUAACUCCGUG